rnacentral:rRNA from 1 species
UACGAAGGGGGCUAGCGUUGUUCGGAAUUACUGGGCGUAAAGCGCGCGCAGGCGGCUAUCCAAGUCAGUGGUGAAAGCCCGGAGCUCAACUCCGGAACUGCCAUUGAAACUGUUUAGCUUGAGGACGAGAGAGGUGAGUGGAAUUCCGAGUGUAGAGGUGAAAUUCGUAGAUAUUCGGAAGAACACCAGUGGCGAAGGCGGCUCACUGGCUCAUACUGGACGCUGAGGUGCGAAAGCGUGGGGAGCAAACAGG